GACGAACGCUGGCGGCGUGCCUAAUACAUGCAAGUUGAGCGCUGAAGGUUGGUACUUGUACCAACUGGAUGAGCAGCGAACGGGUGAGUAACGCGUGGGGAAUCUGCCUUUGAGCGGGGGACAACAUUUGGAAACGAAUGCUAAUACCGCAUAAAAACUUUAAACACAAGUUUUAAGUUUGAAAGAUGCAAUUGCAUCACUCAAAGAUGAUCCCGCGUUGUAUUAGCUAGUUGGUGAGGUAAAGGCUCACCAAGGCGAUGAUACAUAGCCGACCUGAGAGGGUGAUCGGCCACAUUGGGACGGAGACACGGCCCAAACUCCUACGGGAGGAAGCAGUAGGGAAUCUUCGGCAAUGGACGAAAGUCUGACCGAGCAACGCCGCGUGAGUGAAGAAGGUUGUCGGAUCGUAAAACUCUGUUGGUAGAGAAGAACGUUGGUGAGAGUGGAAAGCUCAUCAAGUGACGGUAACUACCCAGAAAGGGACGGCUAACUACGUG
rnacentral:rRNA from 1 species